AACGAACGCUGGCGGCAUGCCUAACACAUGCAAGUCGAACGAGACCUUCGGGUCUAGUGGCGCACGGGUGCGUAACGCGUGGGAACCUGCCCUUAGGUUCGGAAUAACUCCCCGAAAGGGGUGCUAAUACCGGAUAAUGUCUUCGGACCAAAGAUUUAUCGCCUUUGGAUGGGCCCGCGUUGGAUUAGCUAGUUGGUAGGGUAAAAGCCUACCAAGGCGACGAUCCAUAGCUGGUCUGAGAGGAUGAUCAGCCACACUGGGACUGAGACACGGCCCAGACUCCUACGGGAGGCAGCAGUGGGGAAGAUUGGACAAUGGGCGAAAGCCUGAUCCAGCAAUGCCGCGGGAGUGAUGAAGGCCUUAGGGUGGUAAAGCUCUUUUACCCGGGAUGAUAAUGACAGGACCGGGAGAAUAAGCUCAGGAGAACUCCGU
rnacentral:rRNA from 1 species